CUGUGUGAGGAACAUGAAGCUCUGAGGAUGAAGAGACAGAGACCAGACUCUCCUGGACCCAGCUGUGUGUCCAUGAAGAGUGAUAACUCUAAAGAUCUUAUUAUUGAGUUUAAAGAUGGACGUCCUGCUGAUGGAAGAGUUCAACAGGAGAGCUCUGAGGUUCACAGAGAUCAAUCA